GCUAGGAUGAACGCUAGCGGCAGGCUUAACACAUGCAAGUCGAGGGGCAACGCGAGUAGCAAUACUUGGCGGCGACCGGCGCAAGGGUGCGUAACGCGUGAGCAACAUGCCCGUAUCAGGGGGAUAAUCCAGGGAAACUUGGUCUAAUACCCCAUAGUAAUUUUGUAAGGCAUCUUAUAAGAUUUAAAGCUUUGGUGGAUACGGAUUGGCUCGCGUGACAUUAGCUGGAUGGUAAGGUAACGGCUUACCAUGGCUAUGAUGUCUAGGGGUUCUGAGAGGAAGGUCCCCCACACUGGAACUGAGACACGGUCCAGACUCCUACGGGAGGCAGCAGUGAGGAAUAUUGGACAAUGGAUGGAAAUCUGAUCCAGCCAUGCCGCGUAGAAGGAAGAAGGUCCUAUGGAUUGUAAACUUCUUUUGUAUGGGAGCAAUAAGGCCUACGAGUAGGUUGAUGAGAGUACCAUACGAAUAAGCACCGGCUAACUCCGUGCCAGCCGCCGC
rnacentral:rRNA from 1 species